UACGUAGGGUGCAAGCGUUGUCCGGAAUUAUUGGGCGUAAAGAGCUCGUAGGCGGUUUGUCGCGUCUGCUGUGAAAACUCGGGGCUUAACCCCGGGCCUGCAGUGGGUACGGGCAGACUAGAGUGCGGUAGGGGAGACUGGAAUUCCUGGUGUAGCGGUGAAAUGCGCAGAUAUCAGGAGGAACACCGGUGGCGAAGGCGGGUCUAUGGGCCGUAACUGACGCUGAGGAGCGAAAGCACGGGGAGCGAACAGG
rnacentral:rRNA from 1 species